GGUCUACACAUAUUAUUGCCAACUAAUGUCAAAAACUAAAUACCAUAAACAUGAAGUUAAACUAAAAGCGAUUGAAAUAUUGGACAGACUUGAUAGUAAAUAUAUCGGUGCGCAUAUUGGCGAUUUUGGUAUAUUCAAACGAUCUACUUGCAUCAAUUUGCUAUUGGAAAAUGCUUGCUUCAUUAUGCUUCUAUCAUGCAAUAUACGCGCAUUUAUCUGAUUCAUUUGGCUUGGAAGAAUCGAUUAUUGGUAAUCAUUAUUCGAUUAUUGACACCAUAAAACAAGUGAAAUCAUCAAAAUAUUAUGAGAACUUUGCCUACCUUAACGACUGAAAAAAUUUUUCGCUCGUCCUUCGCUUAUGUUGUAGCCAUUUUGUGAAUAUUCCCUUGACUUGACAUGAUUCAGAACUCAUUUUUGCUUGAAAAAGCGAUUAUUGUUAAUCAUUAUGCAAUUUUUUGAGUCAAAUCAACAAAAUAUUCUUACAACUAAUUGUUAGAAC